rnacentral:tRNA from 1 species
GUCCCUGUAGCCCAACGGAUAGGGCGUUGGCCUCCGGAGCCAAAAAUGGCAGUUCGAUUCUGCCCAGGGACG